UACAGAGGGUGCAAGCGUUAAUCGGAAUUACUGGGCGUAAAGCGCACGUAGGCGGUUUUUUAAGUCAGAUGUGAAAGCCCCGGGCUCAAUCUGGGAACUGCGCUUCUAACUGGCAGGCUUGAGUGUGGCAGAGGGGGGUGGAAUUCCACGUGUAGCAGUGAAAUGCGUAGAGAUGUGGAGGAACACCGAUGGCGAAGGCAGCCCCCUGGGCUAACACUGACGCUCAUGCACGAAAGCGUGGGGAGCAAACAGG
rnacentral:rRNA from 1 species